UACGGAGGGUGCAAGCGUUGUCCGGAUUUAUUGGGUUUAAAGGGUGCGUAGGCGGCCCGUUAAGUCAGCGGUGAAAUCCCAGGGCUCAACCCUGGAACUGCCGUUGAUACUGGCGGGCUUGAGUUCGGUCGAGGCGGACGGAACUGGUGGUGUAGCGGUGAAAUGCAUAGAUACCACCAAGAACCCCGAUUGCGUAGGCAGCUCGCUAGGCCGAAACUGACGCUGAGGCACGAAAGCGUGGGGAGCGAACAGG
rnacentral:rRNA from 1 species